rnacentral:rRNA from 1 species
AUUCUUAGUGGCGGACGGGUUAGUAACACGUGAGAAUCCUACCCUUAAGUGGGGAAUAGCCUUUCGAAAGGAAGAUUAAUGCCCCAUGGUCUCUACGGAGUAAAGAUGCCUUCGGGUGUCGCUUAAGGAUGGGCUCGCGGCCUAUCAGCUAGUUGGUGAGGUAAGAGCUCACCAAGGCAACGACGGGUAGCUGGUCUGAGAGGACGAUCAGCAACACUGGAACUGAGACACGGUCCAGACACCUACGGGUGGCAGCAGUCGAGAAUCAUUCACAAUGGACGAAAGUCUGAUGGUGCAACGCCGCGUGGAGGAUGACGGCCCUAGGGUUGUAAACUCCUGUCAUCAGGGAGUAAGACUUAUUCGUUAAUAGCGUGUAAGUUUGAUAGUACCUGAAGAGGAAGGGACGGCUAACUUCGUGCCAGCAGCCGCGGUAAUACGAAGGUCCCAAGCGUUGUUCGGAAUAACUGGGCGUAAAGCGUGUGUAAGCUGCGCGGAAAGUCGGAUGUGAA